UUACGGCCAUAUCACGUUGAAACAUUGGUUCCCGUAGGAUCACCGAAGUUAAGCAGGUCAGGCCAGGUCAGUAUCUAGAUGGGUAACCGCUUGGGAAUACCAGGUGC